rnacentral:rRNA from 1 species
UCUAUGAAUAAAUUGGUGAUUAUUAUAGUUUAUUGUACUGUGAAGGAUUUUUUUUUCGUGUUUAUAAGAAGGUUUAUUCUGUACCUUGUGUAUCAGGGUCUAUUAAAUAAGGGCUAUUAAAUUGGCUUUCCCGAUCUUAAAAGAGCUAUGCUUGAAUGGAUUUUACUGUAGAAAAAUUACUUUUAAUUUAGGCGUUGUAGUGAAAUGUUAGUCGUUUUUAAGGGUAUCUGGUUUCUUUAGAAAUGAAUUCAAUUCAGGCCUGCUUUAUUGUGUUUAUAAUUUUUUAUUGUACUAUGUGUAGGUCUAAUUCCCGGAGGGACAAGCUUUUGGGAAAAUUGCUAUAAGAGGCUAACUGUGGGGUUUAUGUAGGAUUAGAAUUUUCUAUCAUUUUAAUUAUGUUAAAAUUAGGGCUUCUUUUGUUUGAUUUUUUCUUCUUUUUGUUUUCUAUAGAGAUUUCUUUAGUAAUGUUGUUUAUUGAGGGAUUAUGGUGGAAUUAGUAUACUGGUAAAGUAAUUAUGUGUUUGUUUUGUGAGGUUAGGCUAAGGAACUCGGCAAUUAGUGUUUUCACCUGUUUAAUAAAAACAUGUCUUUUUGAUUAUUAUGAAAGGUCGGGCCUGCCCAAUGAUUUUUAAAUGGCCGCAGUAUUUUGACUGUGCAAAGGUAGCAUAAUCAUUAGUUUCUUGAUUGGGAGCUGGAAUGAAAGGUUUGAUGAGGGACAAUCUGUCUCUGCCUUAUUAUUGUUGAAUUUUAUUUUUGAGUAAGAAAGCUUAGAUUUUAUAAAAAGACGAGAAGACCCUAUAGAGUUUUAUGCUUAAUUUUUCUGUUAUUUGUAUGUUUUGUAUGGUAUCAGGCGAGUAAUCAUUUUGUUGGGGUGACAUUAAAAUUUAAUUAACUUUUAAUUAUUACUACGCGAAUGAGCGGCUGGUUGAUCCUUUAUUUAAGAUUAUAAGACUAAAUUACCUUAGGGAUAACAGCGUUAUUUUCCUUAGGAGUUCUUAUUUGUAGGGGAGUUUGCGACCUCGAUGUUGGAUUAAAAUUAAUUUUUGGUGUAGCAGCUGAAAUAUUGGGUCUGUUCGACCUUUGAAAUUUUACAUGAUCUGAGUUUAGACCGGCGUGAGCCAGGUUGGUUUCUAUCUUUUAUUUUGUCUGUUAUUCUAGUACGAAAGGACCGGGUGGCAUAAUUAUAUUAUUUAUU